UGGCUGCCCCACUGGACUGUAAGCUCUUGAAAGCAGGACCAGGUUUGGUGCAUUGGCUCAUCUCUGAUACGUUGCACAAUUAAAGGAACUUAAAUGAAGCGCUCAGGUCGGUACGCUGGGAAGCUGUUCAGCGCAGCUCCACACCACCGCCAACUCCUCCUCUUCCCACCACCUGCUCUGUGCUCCACAGACAAGACUUUCUCCCGGACCGCCUCCAGCCCCAAGUAGGCCUUCCACUUCACCAUUGCUCUCCUGCCAGGAAUCACGGCAAACACCUCAUUUCCCCUUGCUGCAGACUGGACACAAAUAUGUGGCAGGAAUGCAGGGAGUCUGAGAAGAU